rnacentral:rRNA from 1 species
UUCUGUAAGCCGUUGAAGGUGUGCUGUGAGGCAUGCUGGAGGUAUCAGAAGUGCGAAUGCUGACAUAAGUAACGAUAAAGCGGGUGAAAAGCCCGCUCGCCGGAAGACCAAGGGUUCCUGUCCAACGUUAAUCGGGGCAGGGUGAGUCGACCCCUAAGGCGAGGCCGAAAGGCGUAGUCGAUGGGAAACAGGUUAAUAUUCCUGUACUUGGUGUUACUGCGAAGGGGGGACGGAGAAGGCUAUGUUAGCCGGGCGACGGUUGUCC